GAAUUCAUGAAAUAAAGUGGUCCUUUCUUUUUUCCCUAAGAUCUUUUGCAAAGAAAUGUGAGGUGACUAGGUGAAAAAUCUGUUGAUGUGCCCUUGAGCAAGGCAUUUAACCCUAAUUGCUCCUGUUAUGUUGCUCUGAAUAAAAGCGUCUACUACAUGACUAAAAUGUACAUGUCAAAAUGUAAUAAAGUAAUUCACAUAGCCUUCAUCAUAUGACCAAAUCCUCUUUUUAUUUUUAACAUGGCUCUGAUACCGUAGUUGCAAGAGAGGUCAGAAAACAAAAGGAAAACUUUCGCUAGCAUGAUCCAUUGUCUGUUGUAUGCUGUUCAUAUGGAAUAAAAAGACACAAGAUCAUUUUGAAAAAGCACUAAAAUCAGAAGUCAUAAUACACAAUCCGUAGAAAUGUCAAAUUAAAUACUGUUCUCUUAUCUUGACAGAAAUAUUAAUCCUGCUAAUGUUUGAAAGAAAAUGUUGUUAUUAUACUAUAUGCGUAAGAGUGUGUCAACGAGCUGUAAGAAUUGGCUGUAGGGACAGUACCUAAAAAGUGACUCAUUCAUAAUUCCCAUCCAGGUGCCGGGAGAGACCCAGGGGAAAUUUGAUUGAAUGUGACAGCUGUCCCCUCCUCUGUCACACACACUUUUUAAGGCGACCCAAAGGAACCUGCCCUCCCUGACAUCACAAACAUAAGGCAACUAAAUGUUUAAACUACUCUCUUCUGCAACCAAGGAAGUAACCUUUUUCAUCUGAUUCUUAGAAUUCAGGGUCUAGUGAAGCAGGAAGGAUGUGGAGCAAUAAGCAGUGCUGCUGAGAGGCACCAAACGAGGGGUUCAGUGGAGACAGGUCCACACAAACCAGCAGAUGGAUCUGGACUCAACAUGGGUCACUCACACCAAGAUGUCCACUGCUCACCCAGUUCUCAGUGUAAGGUCUGUGUGAUCAAAGUAGAGCUACAUCUGAUUACUGGGUCAGUAAUGACGUUAUAAUCUGCAUGUGCCCUAACGGAACACCUCAUUGGGUAUGUAGACCGUUAUACCAACUGUAUUCUUGUUUAAUAAAAUACACAUUUGACUAAGUAUAGCGUUGGUUCAUUAUUUAUUGGAAUAUAAAAUGUGACUUUUGUUCUACUUAGUCAUCAUCAUGCCAUACAUGAUAAUCGAGGAUAAUAUUAAUAAUAAAAGGUGUCUCGUAUAAAAGUGAAUAAAGCUGUCUCAAUGUAGCCUGUAGCUGUAUUUUUUAGUUGGCUGUUCAGUAUUGUACAAGUGGUAGGCCUACACAAUGUUUAAAUAUGUCUAAUAUAGGGCUCUGGGGGAUUUUGGAUAGAAUGAGGAUGGUUGGAUUUGUCAUAAGUGCAUCUCAAUAAUCUAUAGAACCCUCCUCUCUUUGUAUCUUUGCUCUCAUCUGCACUUAUUGAUUUGACGCCUGAACGCAGUGUUCCCAAACUCGCAAUGGUGUAAAUAUAGGUCGUUUUUUGUAAUAUCUAUACUAUUCAUAUUUUUGACAACUUUUACUUUACUACAUUCCUAAAGAAAAUAAUGUACUUUUUACUCCAUACAUUUUCCCUGCCACGAAAAAUAACUCAUUACAUUUUGA
rnacentral:lncRNA from 1 species